UGUGGGCACACAGGUUGUUGUUAGUAGCUGUUGUCAGCCUGCGUAUUUUUAGUAUGCGUUCAAGGAAAGCCAAUAGAUGCAGGUUUGCUUUGGCACACUCAACACUCAUUUACAGUCAGUGAAAACAACUGCAGAUGAAUAUAUAGAAUAUAUGAAUGUAUAUAGAUAAACAAAGCCUACAUC
rfam:Xenopus laevis strain J chromosome 6L, whole genome shotgun sequence.